AAAGAAAGCCAGCCCUUCUUGGCAGGGCUGCAAAGAGAUGGUAGCUGGGGGAGUGCGGGAGGGGGCCCUCAGUUCCGGAGCCUCAGUUAUAAACAAGGCACACUGCUGGCCCCUUCAUCUUGUGGUUUUGUUUCAUUCUCACACCCAUUCCGAAGCUCAGAGAGGUGAAGUGCCUUGCUCAGUGUUACCUAGCCAGUGAGACGCAGACUCACGUUUUCUUUUCUUUUCUUUUUUCUUUUUGACAGAGUCUCCAUUUGUCGACCAGGCUGGAGUGCAGUGACGCCAUCUCAGCUCACUGCAACCUCUGCCUCCCUGGAUCAAGCAAUUCUCCUGCCUCAGUCUCCUGAGUAGCUGGGAUUACAGGCGUGUGCCACCACAUCCAGCUAAUUUUUGUAUUUUUAGUAGAGACGGGGUUUCACCAUGUUGGCCAGGCUGGUCUCAAACUCCUGACCUCACGUGAUCUGCCCGCCUUGGCCUCCCAAAGUGCUGGGAUUACAGGCAUGAGCCACCACACUUGGCCUCAGACUCACAUUUUCAAAAUGUCCCAGUGAGUCUGCUGGGUGGAGCCUUAGGGUUAAAUGCCCUCCCUAGUGUCCCAGGCAGGUCUUUUGCUUUGAGAGUCUCCCCCAGACUUGGCGAAGCAAGGGUUAAGGUGCAUGCUCACACACGCUGGAGUGUCCAUCACUCCCACCACCUGGACUAAUGACAAACCAUGUCUGCAGCAGAGGGAAGGCGGAUGAACUGCCAGAUGUGUAUUAAGAAACCAGCUUGCAGGAAAUUGCUGUCGGGUGAUUAUUAUUAGCUGGGUUAUUCAGAACAGCCCUUUCUCCAAAGGUCGUGCAUUUACCAAAUGCUUGAUGUGUUUUCCCAGUCAGCCCCAGAAAAUUUUGUCCUCCUGGAGAGAGAGCUUGUCCUCCAGGACUGCUGAAAGUGGGUGAUGAUAAUUCUGCCCCCGCCUCCCAUCAGCAUAUCACGGCAGCUGCUUUGAAUGCACAGCAGUCUGCGCUCUGGUUCCUGGUUCUGUGUGCAGAGGCAGGAGGUUGACCUUCAAGAGCACAGAGCUGAGUUCAAAUCCCCAGCUCGGCCACUGAUUAAUUAUAUUCAUCCAUUCACUACCUAAUUUUGAAGAGCUUUUCAUAUCCUUGGUACUUGGGCAAUUGCUUUACUUCUAUGAAACUUAAUUUCCUAGUGGCUCAAAUACUGAUAAUACCUUUCUUGGCGUGUUGUGAGAAUGAGUGGCAUAUCACCCGUGGAGAGUUCCAGACAAUAACUCCCUUCCAUUUCUUGAGAUAAUCUGACAGUGUCUGUUAUAUUUUAAAGAACCCACCAGUUUUACUCACUUCACCACGUCACAUUGGUAGAUGAAAAACAAAAAACAAAAUAAGUUACAGUGCCAUUCAUACUGUAUAAGAUCAAUUAUGUAAAAUAAAAAAACCCUCACAAUUAUAUGUUUUCUCAAGCUAGGCAGAAUGUGGUGUAUGCAUCAAGGGAUUAUUAUUCAGCUGUAAAAAGGAAUAAAGCAAAAUAAACAAAAAAGCUUUAAAAAAUCAGCUGGGGAUGUUCGUGCAUGACUAUGUUCCCAGUUACUUGGGAAGCAGAGGAGGGAGGAUUACUUGAGCCCAGGAGGUUGAGGCCACAGUGAGUGGUGUUUGCGUCACUGUACUCCAGCCUGGGCAACAGAGAGAGACCCUGUAUUAAAAAAAAAGAAAAGAAAUAGGGUCAUUGUAGAUGCAAGUAGUUAAGGAUCUUGAAAUCAUCCUGGAUUUAGGGCAGGCCCUAAGUCCAAUGACAGCUGUCCUUAUCACAAGAGGAGAGGACUCAGAAAGAAGACAAUGUGGAGUCAGGCGGAGAAUGGGGUGAGGCAUGUAAGAGCCAAGGAUCGCCCAGGAUUGCCGGCAGCCUCCAUGCGUCAGGACAGACACGCGGAACGGAUUCUCCCUCAGAGCCUCCAGAAGGACCCAGCCAUGCUGCUACUUUGAUUUUGGACUCGUGGCCUCCAGAACUGUGCGGGAAUGUUACCCCCAAGACCCUGGGGAGGCCACAAAUGUGGUAGAGGAUCGUGGGCAGUGUCUCUUCCUGACCAGCCUCUCCUCCCUGAAUCCUAGCACUGAUUGUAGAAUCCCAGCAGACCGCAAUCCUCAGCCUCAACUACACAGAGCAACCAGAGUGUG
rnacentral:lncRNA from 1 species